rnacentral:rRNA from 1 species
CCUGGGUGGCUGCAGUAGGGAAUAUUGGACAAUGGGCGAAAGCCUGAUCCAGCCAUGCCGCGUGAUAGAUGAAGGCCCUCUGGGUUGUAAAUAUCUUUUAUCUGGGAAGAAACAAUCUUAUUCUUAAGAUCUUGACGGUACCAGAGGAAUAAGCACCGGCUAACUCCGUGCCAGCAGCCGCGGUAAUACGGAGGGUGCAAGCGUUAUCCGGAUUCACUGGGUUUAAAGGGUGCGUAGGCGGGCCGAUAAGGAAAGCGCCGAGCUUAACUUGGAAACUGCCAUUGAUACUGCCAGUCUUGAAUGUCGUAGAGGUAAGCGGAAUGUUGCAUGUAGCGGUGAAAUGCUUAGAUAUGUUACAGAACACCAAUUGCGAAGGCAGCUUACUAUGCGAUGAUUGACGCUGAGGCACGAAAGCGUGGGGAGCAAACAGGAUUAGAUACCCGUGUAGUC